AACUUGAACGCGAAUUGACUUGUUUGGCGGGUGCCUGUUAACUAUCUAAAAAACGUGCGAAACUGGAGUGUCCCACAGAUACAGUUCCGUAGCUGGACCACACGGAGCUUAUGGCUUGGCUGAGGCUACGGAAAAAGCGUGGACAUUAACAGCCGCUAACGUUUGAACUAGAGUUUUGCAGCUUCUCCGAAGCGACAACAACUCACUGGCUUGGCAUUGACGACCCAAAGCAGCUCCUUUCUAGUGUAGCCCUAGCAGCCCAGCUGUAGCACACACAGUCCUCGCCAACAACGGCCGAUUUACACCCUACAGACCGGACCGUACUGCACCAAUCGCAAACGAGGCGUAUCUCACUGACAACAGUUCGCUAUAUAGUCGUCGGUGCUGGGCACACAUGCUGACAAAGUUAAAAAAACAA